AUACGUAGGGUGCAAGCGUUAAUCGGAAUUACUGGGCGUAAAGCGUGCGCAGGCGGUUUUGUAAGACAGUGGUGAAAUCCCCGGGCUCAACCUGGGAACUGCCAUUGUGACUGCAAGGCUGGAGUGCGGCAGAGGGGGACGGAAUUCCGCGUGUAGCAGUGAAAUGCGUAGAUAUGCGGAGGAACACCGAUGGCGAAGGCAAUCCCCUGGGCCUGCACUGACGCUCAUGCACGAAAGCGUGGGGAGCAAACAGGAUUAGAUACCCUGGUAGUCCACGCCCUAAACGAUGUCAACUGGUUGUUGGGGAUUUAUUUUCUCAGUAACGAAGCUAACGCGUGAAGUUGACCGCCUGGGGAGUACGGCCGCAAGGUUAAAACUCAAAUGAAUUGACGGGG
rnacentral:rRNA from 1 species